CGGUAGGGGGUGCCUUUCCAUCUGGAAAGAAUCUGGAGACAGGUGCUGCAUGGCUGUCGUCAGCUCGUGUCGUGAGAUGGUUGGGUUAACGUCCCGCAACGAGCGCCAACCCUUGCCUUUAGUUGCCAGCAGUUCGGCGUGGGCACUACGUAAAGGGACUGCCGGUGUUAAACCGGAGGAAGGUGGGGAUGACGUCAAGUCCUCAUGGCCUUUAUGACCAGGGCUACACACGUACUACAAUGGCCGAUACAAAGGGCAGCGACACUGCGAGGUGAAGCCAAUCCCGUAAAAUCGGUCUCAGUCCGGAUUGGAGUCUGCAACUCGACUCCAUGAAGUUGGAAUCGCUAGUAAUCGUGGAUCAGCAUGCCACGGUGAAUACGUUCCCGGGCCUU
rnacentral:rRNA from 1 species